rnacentral:rRNA from 1 species
CCUACGGGAGAUAGCAGUGAGGAAUAUUGGUCAAUGGGCGCGAGCCUGAACCAGCCAAGUCGCGUGAGGGAGGACGGCCCUACGGGUUGUAAACCUCUUUUGCCGGGGAGCAACGGGCGUCACGUGUGGCGUCACUGAGAGUACCCGGAGAAAAAGCAUCGGCUAACUCCGUGCCAGCAGCCGCGGUAAUACGGAGGAUGCGAGCGUUAUCCGGUUUUAUUGGGGUUAAAGGGUGCGUAGGCGGAUCGUUAAGCCAGUGGGCAAAUUGAGGGUCUAAACCCCUUCCCGCCAUUGAAACUGGCGAUCUUGAGUGGAAGAGAAGUAUGCGGAAUGCGUGGUGUAGCGGUGAAAUGCAUAGAUAUCACGCAGAACCCCGAUUGCGAAGGCAGCAUGCCGGCUUCCGACUGACGCUGAAGCACGAAAGCGUGGGGAUCGAACAGGAUUAGAUACCCGAGUAGUC